UACGUAGGGAGCAAGCGUUGUCCGGAAUCAUUGGGCGUAAAGCGCGCGUAGGCGGCCUCAUAAGUCCGUUGUGAAAGUCAAAGGCUCAACCUUUGAAAGCCGAUGGAUACUGUGAGGCUAGAGUCCGGAAGAGGCGAGUGGAAUUCCUGGUGUAGCGGUGGAAUGCGUAGAUAUCAGGAGGAACACCGGUGGCGAAGGCGGCCCUCUGGACGGAUACUGACGCUGAGACGCGAAAGCGUGGGGAGCAAACAGG
rnacentral:rRNA from 1 species